CAGGGCUUUCGUCUUGUAAUUGGAAUGAUGGUGGUGUACAACCUCACCAGAGUACCAAUUGGAGGGCAAGUCUGGUGCCAGCAGCCGCGGUAAUUCCAGCUCCAAUAGCGUAUAUUAAACUUGUUGCAGUUAAAAAGCUCGUAGUUGUAUUUCAGCCUCGCGUUUUUUCCCUGGUUUUGGGUCUUUUCGCUGGCUUUUUUUUUACUUUGAGAAAAUUAGAGUGUUUCAAGCAGACUUUUGUCUUGAAUACUUCAGCAUGGAAUAAUAGAGUAGGACCUUGGUUCUAUUUUGUUGGUUUUGAGCCUUGGUAAUGGUUAAUAGGAACGGUUGGGGGCAUUCGUAUUUAACUGUCAGAGGUGAAAUUCUUAGAUUUGUUAAAGACGAACCACUGCGAAAGCAUUUGCCAAGGACGUUUUCAUUAAUCAAGAAC
rnacentral:rRNA from 1 species